rnacentral:rRNA from 1 species
AUUGAACGCUGGCGGCAUGCUUUACACAUGCAAGUCGAACGGUAACAGGGUGCUUGCACCGCUGACGUGUGGCGAACGGGUGAGUAAUGCGUCGGAACGUGCCGAGUAGUGGGGGAUAACGCAGCGAAAGUUGUGCUAAUACCGCAUACGUACUGAGGUAGAAAGUGGGGGACCUUCGGGCCUCACGCUAUUCGAGCGGCCGACGUCGGAUUAGCUAGUAGGUGAGGUAAAGGCUCACCUAGGCGACGAUCAGUAGCGGGUCUGAGAGGAUGAUCCGCCACACUGGGACUGAGACACGGCCCAGACUCCUGCGGGAGGCAGCAGUGGGGAAUUUUGGACAAUGGGCGAAAGCCUGAUCCAGCCAUGCCGCGUGUCUGAAGAAGGCCUUCGGGUUGUAAAGGACUUUUGUCAGGGAGGAAAUCCCUAGUGCUAAUAACACUGGGGGAUGACAGUACCUGAAGAAUAAGCACCGGCUAACUACGUGCCAGCCGCCGCGGUAA